AUUGAACGCUGGCGGCAGGCCUACCACAUGCAAGUCGAGCGGAGCGGCGGACGGGUGAGUAUUGCCGAGGAAUCUGCCAGGUAGUGGGGGAUAACGUCCGGAAAAGGGCGCUAAUACCGCAUACCAUUAGAAUAGCAUAUGUCGGAUUAGCUAGUUGGUGGGGUAGAGGCCUACCAAGGCCACGAUCCGUAACUGGUCUGAGAGGAGUAUCAGUCACCCUGGAACGGAGACACGGUCCAGACUCCUACGGGAGGCAGCAGUGGGGAAUAUUGGACAAGGGGCGAAAGCCUGAUCCAGCCAUGCCGCGUGUGUGAAGAAGGUCUUCGGAUUGUAAAGCACUUUAAGUUGGGAGGCGUUACCAACAGAAUAAGCACCGGCUAACUUCGUGCCAGCAGCCGCGGUAAUAC
rnacentral:rRNA from 1 species